AGAGAGAGAGAGAGAGAGAGAGAGAGAGAGAGAGAGAGAGAGAGAGAGAGAGAGAGAGAGAGAGAGAGAGAGAGAGAGAGAGAGAGAGAGUGUGUGUGUGUACUAUACAAAAGUAAACCAAUCAUGCUUCCUCCUCAUCGCGCCCUAGAUGUGGGCAGCCACGGUUCCUGACGUGAUGUGAUGUUGUGACGGGCCGUGCGAUGCGGUGCGUUAGUGCUACACUUGUCCUAUCAAGUUAAUGCAACGUACUGUUAGUGUUGAUAGCUCGGCCUUGACAUGGAUCUUUUGAAUGUGUAGGGGCGCUGUCCAUCAGUGCUGCCUCUCACUCCCUUCUCGUGAAAAGUGUCUGAACCCUUUCCCAGUGAUACCAAACAAUUGACACCAGCAUCUGUAUUUUUCUGAUUUCCUCUGCCUGAAAACACUGGAAUUUUCUAUCUGUUUUGAGUGUUUUUCCAAUCUUUCCUACAAAUUCAAGUUUUCACAUCAUUAAGAUAUUUUCAAAAAUAAUAUCUAUCUAUUCUACUCCUUCCAAUAUCAUUUAGUUAACCAAUAUCUGCAAUCUUUCAUCCUUACACUGGUAAAGUUUGGAAUUGUCUCUCAGUUUCUAAGUGCUUCCCUCCUUUUUAUGCUUUCAUCUUUUCACAAUAUGAUCAAGAUAUCUUCGAAAUUAAAUCAGCUUACUUAUUUCUUUAUAAUUUCCUACAGUUAUCUGUUUCAUAGAGCGGCUAAGAAUGUUAUCUUAAUCAGUUCUCGUAGUCUUAGCUGGGCAGCCCGCGACGUAAAGAGUUAAUAAAGAAAUAGAACACA